rnacentral:tRNA from 2 species
GGACGUGUGCCUGAAUAAAGGACUACUUUGAUAGAGUAGAACAUAGGGGCUAAAAUCUCCUCACCUCCU